rnacentral:rRNA from 1 species
AUUGAACGCUGGCGGCAGGCUUAACACAUGCAAGUCGAGCGAGCGGCGGACGGGUGAGGAAUGUCUGGGAAAAUGCCUGAUGGAGGGGGAUAACUACGGGAAACGGUAGCUAAUAACGCAUACCCACAGAGGUGCCCGGAUGGGAUGAGCUAGGAGGUGGGGUAAGGGCACACCUAGGCGACGCUCCCUAGGUGGUGUUAGAGGAUGACCAGCCAAGCGGGAGCUGAGACAGGCGCCAAAUGCCGACGGGAGGCAGCAGUGUGGAAUAUUGCACAAUGGGGGCAAGCCUGAGGCAGCUCUGCCGCGUGUGUGAAGAAGGCCUUCGGGUUGUAAAGCUCUUUCAGCGAGGAGGCGUUACUCUCAGAAGAAGCACCGGCUAACUCCGUGCCAGCAGCCGCGGUAAUUC